GGACAGAUGGUCACCAGCUCAUUGAGGAACAGUCUCAAUUUUCAGAGGAAUCACCAUUUCAGGUUGUUCAGCUUGCAGAUGUUGUUGAUGCCAUCCACAUAGAAGAUGGGGAGUAGAGUCAUGAGUCUGUUAUUGUGCCAUCUACUUUCCCACCCUCCUAUGUCCCUACUCUUGCACCUGAGGAGACUGAUGAAGAAUUGGAGGACCAGAC
rnacentral:lncRNA from 1 species